GCGGUCGUGGUGGAAUUGGCAGACACGCUAUCUUGAGGGGGUAGUGAUCAUUGAUCGUGCGAGUUCGAGUCUCGCCGACCGCACCA
rnacentral:tRNA from 1 species